GGGCUUAGCUCUAGUGAUAGGGAGCAUGCCUAGCAUGCAUGAGGUCCUGGGUUCAAAUCCCAGUAUGUCCA
rnacentral:tRNA from 1 species